UCUCGAUUCGUCUAGUGGUUAGGAUACCUGCUUGUCACUCCGUUAAUUCGUAUGAUAAAAUCGCAGGUGGCCGGGGUUCAAUUCCCCGAUCGAGAG